rnacentral:rRNA from 1 species
CUACGGGUGGCUGCAGUGGGGAAUAUUGGACAAUGGGGGGAACCCUGAUGCAGCAACGCCGCGUGGAGGAUGACGCAUUUCGGUGUGUAAACUCCUUUAUAUGUCAAGAAAAUGACGGUAGCAUAUGAAUAAGCACCGGCUAACUCCGUGCCAGCAGCCGCGGUAAUACGGAGGGUGCAAGCGUUACUCGGAAUCACUGGGCGUAAAGGACGCGUAGGCGGGUUGGAAAGUCAGGUGUGAAAUCCUACAGCUUAACUGUAGAACUGCACUCGAAACUCUCAAUCUAGAGUAUGGGAGGGGCAGAUGGAAUUAGUGGUGUAGGGGUAAAAUCCGUAGAUAUCACUAGGAAUACCUAAAGCGAAGGCGAUCUGCUGGAACAUUACUGACGCUAAGGCGUGAAAGUGUGGGGAGCAAACAGGAUUAGAUACCCGCGUAGUC